rnacentral:misc_RNA from 1 species
GAAAUGCGAUAAGUAGUGUGAAUUGCAGAAUUCAGUGAAUCAUCGAAUCUUUGAACGCACAUUGCGCCCCUUGGUAUUCCAUGGGGCAUGCCUGUUCGAGCGUCAUUUGUACCCUCAAGCUCUGCUUGGUGUUGGGUGUUUGUCCCGUCUCCGCGCGUGGACUCGCCCCAAAGUGAUUGGCAGCCGGCGUACUGGUCCCGGAGCGCAGCACAUGUCGCGCAAACGAGUGCCUUGGUACGGCGGCGUCCAUAAGCCCCUCUCUCACGCUCUUAACCUCGGAUGAGGUAGGGAUACCCGCUGAACUUAAGC